rnacentral:rRNA from 1 species
UACGUAGGGUGCAAGCGUUGUCCGGAGUUAUUGGGCGUAAAGAGCUCGUAGGCUGUCUGUUGCGUCGGCUGUGAAAACCCGGGGCUCAACUCCGGGCCUGCAGCCGAUACGGGCAGACUAGAGUUCGGCAGGGGAGACUGGAAUUCCUGGUGUAGCGGUGAAAUGCGCAGAUAUCAGGAGGAACACCUGCGGCGAAGGCGGGUUGCUGGGCUGACACUGACGCUGAUGCGCGAAAGCGUGGGGAGCAAAACGG